rnacentral:rRNA from 1 species
AGUGAACGCUGGCGGUAGGCCUAACACAUGCAAGUCGAACGGCAGCACAGUAAGAGCUUGCUCUUACGGGUGGCGAGUGGCGGACGGGUGAGGAAUACAUCGGAAUCUACUUUUUCGUGGGGGAUAACGUAGGGAAACUUACGCUAAUACCGCAUACGACCUACGGGUGAAAGCAGGGGAUCUUCGGACCUUGCGCGAUUGAAUGAGCCGAUGUCGGAUUAGCUAGUUGGCGGGGUAAAGGCCCACCAAGGCGACGAUCCGUAGCUGGUCUGAGAGGAUGAUCAGCCACACUGGAACUGAGACACGGUCCAGACUCCUACGGGAGGCAGAAGUGGGGAAUAUUGGACAAUGGGCGCAAGCCUGAUCCAGCCAUACCGCGUGGGUGAAGAAGGCCUUCGGGCUGUAAAGCCCUUUUGUUGGGAAAGAAAAGCAGCAGGUUAAUACCCCGCUGUUCUGACGGUACCCAAAGAAUAAGCACCGGCUAACUUCGUG